AGGGUAAUAGUCCCGUAGGCGAAAACGAAACAACUUUAUUGUUAUUGUUCUCAAGUAAGGCGGGACCGGAGAAAUCCCGUCUGAAGCUGGGAGCACUAAACUUCCAAGGCUAAAUAUCGUUUGAGAUCGAUAGUGAACUAGUACCGUGAGGGAAAGGUGAAAAGCACCCCGUUGAGGGGAGUGAAAUAGAACUGAAACCAUACGCUUACGUAGAGUAGGAGCUCCGACAUGACGUCGGGGUGACUGCGUGCUUUUUGUAGAACGAGCCAACGAGUUAAUUCUAUGCGGCAAGUUUAAGCAGUUCAAAACUGUGUAAACAUAGUGAAAGCGAGUUUUAAUGGACGAAAUAAGUCGCAUGGAUUAGACCCGAAGCCGGGCGAGCUACGCAUGAGCAGGGUGAACCCCGAGUAACAUCGGGGGGAGGCCCGCACCCACGCGCCGUACAACACGCGGGGAUGACUUGUGUGUAGAGGAGAAAUUCCAAUCGAGCUCGGCCAUAGCUGGUUCUUCCCGAAAUAGCUUGAGGGCUAGCGUCGGGGAACAUAAUCGCGGGAGGUAGAGCUACUGAAUGAGAGAUCGUGGAGCAAUCCUAGGUCUCUCAACCAAACUCCGAAUGCCCGUCGAUUUUAUCCCGGCAGUCAGAGUAUGAGGGCUAAGCUUCAUGCUCAAAAAGGAAACAGCCUAGACCGCCGUCUAAGGUCCCUAAAUCUAUGUUAAGUGGUAAAGGAGGUGAGAUCUCCUAGACACCUAGGAGGUUGGCUUAGAAGCAGCCAUCCUUUAAAGAGUGCGUAACAGCUCACUAGUCUAGAGAUUUCGCGCCGAAAAUUCAACGGGGCUCAAACAUAGUACCGAAGACGCGGGCUCCGACGUUAAGUCGGAGCGGUAGGGAAGUGUCCUCAUCUGCUGCGAAGCUCCGAUGUGAGUCGGAGUGGAGCGAUGAGGAGUAAGAAUGUUGGCAUGAGUAACCGCAAUUGGGGUGAGAACCUCCAACGCCGAAAGUCCAAGGUUUCCUGGGCAAUGUCGAUCAACCCAGGGUUAGGCGAUCCUAAGGCGAGGCCGAAAGGCGUAGUCGAUGGACAGCCGGUUAAUAUUCCGGCCCCGCAAUAUUAUUCGACGGAGUGACGUAUUCUAGUAGUCUCUGCCCCUUAUUGGAUUGGGGUAGGUGUGUUGAGGGCGUUCUCUUGGCAAAUCCGGAGAGCACAACCCAAGGCACAACUGGAAGUCCGAUUUAUCGGGCGAACGGAGAUGAGCAGGGUACCGGGAAAAACUUCUAAGUUCAAAAUAAUAUUGCGUCCGUACUUAAAACCGACACAGGUGGACUGGGCGAGUAGCCUAAGGCGAACGGGAGAACCCUCGUUAAGGAACUCGGCAAAACAACUAGACGUAACUUAGGGAGAUGUCUUUCCCCGAUGAAUAAUCGGGGGUGCAAUUAAAGAUUCCAAGCGACUGUUUAUCAAAAACACAGGUCUCCGCAAACCCGUAAGGGGAAGUAUGGGGGCUGACGCCUGACCAGUGCUGGAACGUUAACGGGAGCGGUGCAAGCCAAUCCCCGAAGCGCCAGUGAACGUCAGCGAUAACUAUAAUCGUUCUAAGGUAGCGAAAUUCCUUGUCGGGUAGAUUAUCGGAACUGCCCGAGUAUUGUAGCAAUG
rnacentral:rRNA from 1 species